UAGGGAAUCUUCCGCAAUGGGCGAAAGCUUGACGGAGCAACGCCGCGUGAGUGAUGAAGGUCUUCGGAUCGUAAAACUCUGUUAUUAGGGAAGAACAAAUGUGUAAGUAACUAUGCACGUCUUGACGGUACCUAAUCAGAAAGCCACGGCUAACUACGUGCCAGCAGCCGCGGUAAUACGUAGGUGGCAAGCGUUAUCCGGAAUUAUUGGGCGUAAAGCGUGCGUAGGCGGUUUUUUAAGUCUGAUGUGAAAGCCCACGGCUCAACCGUGGAGGGUCAUUGGAAACUGGAAAACUUGGGUGCAGAAGAGGAAAGUGGAAUUCCAUGUGUAGCGGUGAAAUGCGCAGAGAUAUGGAGGAACACCAGUGGCGAAGGCGACUUUCUGGUCUGUAACUGACGCUGAUGUGCGAAAGCGUGGGGAUCAAACAGG
rnacentral:rRNA from 1 species